UUAGUAAAAAUUACAUAACUUUGUCAAAGUUAAAUUAUAGGUUAAAUUCCUGUA
rnacentral:tRNA from 1 species